AAACGUGCUCCGGGGUCGGUGUAAUUCCGAACCGGCGGUUAUAGUCCGCGACCCGCACGUCCGGCUGGGAUCCCUCAGCAGGACGGACGGUUGAACCGGUGAAAUUCCGGUACCGACAGUUAAAGUCUGGAUGGGAGAAGCACGUAC
rnacentral:ncRNA from 2 species